GUGGGGAAUAUUGGACAAUGGGCGAAAGCCUGAUCCAGCCAUGCCGCGUGUGUGAAGAAGGUCUUCGGAUUGUAAAGCACUUUAAGUUGGGAGGAAGGGCAGUAAGUUAAUACCUUGCUGUUUUGACGUUACCAACAGAAUAAGCACCGGCUAACUUCGUGCCAGCAGCCGCGGUAAUACGAAGGGUGCAAGCGUUAAUCGGAAUUACUGGGCGUAAAGCGCGCGUAGGUGGUUUUGUAAGUUGGAGGUGAAAUCCCCGGGCUCAACCUGGGAACUGCCUCCAAAACUGCAUGACUAGAGUACGGUAGAGGGUAGUGGAAUUUCCUGUGUAGCGGUGAAAUGCGUAGAUAUAGGAAGGAACACCAGUGGCGAAGGCGACUACCUGGACUGAUACUGACACUGAGGUGCGAAAGCGUGGGGAGCAAACAGGAUUAGAAACCCUGGUAGUCC
rnacentral:rRNA from 1 species